rnacentral:rRNA from 1 species
CACCUGUUUUCACCCUCUCCCUUUGAGCAGAGAAUGAGUUGGUUUCACGUUGACGUAGAGGUGUUGUUUGGGACGUUUCGGCGUCGACCUCUGCCAACUAUUUGCUUUGUGGAUAAAAGAGAGAAUUUAUUCUCUUUUCUAUCUCCAAACGCAGACGACUGUAUCUUCUUGCUUUAUGAAAGGCAAAAAAUCGUGUCUUGUCUUAUCAGUACCUUCAGCCUUGAUCCCCGAACAAGAUCGUGGGCUGCUGGUUAUUGUGACGAGACCAAACUUACAAAUUAACCUAUUUCACCAACCCCCCCUUUUUGCUAGUUGACUUUUUAUAUGUUGUUCUAUUUUUCGGACCUUGUGUCUGAAGAGCAGUUCACACGUUUAUUUACUUGAACGUUAAAAAAUACAACUCUUAGCAAUGGAUAUCUUGGUUCUCGCAACGAUGAAGAACGCAGCGAAAUGCGAUACGUAAUGCGAAUUGCAGAAUUCAGUGAAUCAUCAAAUCUUUGAACGCAAAUUGCGCUCUUGGGUAGCCCUAGGAGCACGCCUCUCUCAGUAUCGGUUCAACAAUCUCUCAGCAGCGUGUUUGGAAUUUUAAAUAUUUAUAUUUGAAACUCUGAGCGCGUGUUGGCUGGAUAAUGAGAGUCUGAGCAUUUUUCCUUGAUUGGAAAUGAGUUCAGUCUCUUGAAAUACAUGGAGUAAACAUGACUAGCGAUCAGUUCUAUUGAAAUGAUUUUAUUAUUAUUUUUAGUAGAUAGUCAGCUUCUGGCUGUCGAUUCGAUUAGUGACGUGAAUAUUGGCCUUUAUUGGUCUCUAUCUUUUACGUUUAUCUAAUUAAAUUGACACUCAAGCCUUUAGCUUUGUACGAACGUUCGAUUUUAGUGC